AAUUAGUCAAAAUAAUUGAUUAUAACUUGUUUCAUUUUUAAGUUGUUACUUAGUUUUAUUCUGUAUUCACUUAAAGGCAUUACUAAGUGUUUAAUUAAUAUUAUUGUUUUAAAGAUUUAUUAUUAUUUUAAUAUUUUAUGAGAACUACCAAAGAUGAGCCACAUAAACCUAAAUAUAUAUUUUUUAAUUUAACCUGGGUGGAAUUAAGACUAAUGUUUAUUGCUGAACAAAAUGCCUUGGCUGAGCUGGAAUAAUUUUCAUUUAUUUUCAGAGAGACCGUUCACUUGUGAAUCUGCAUCUGAUGCACACAAGUUUCUUCCUUUUUGUCACUGUGGUCACUCUCCUGUGCUUUGCUCUCAUCCGUGGAAGAUAUAGAUCACCUAAGAAUGCUCUUUCAGAUAAGGUGACUCCAGAGGUAUGAAGGACAUUCUUCUCUUCCUUGGUGGAUCUUCUCUUGUUCCUGCAUUUGUAAAUAUUUUAAAUAAAUUUUUUGAAAAAGAACUAUUAAA